rnacentral:sRNA from 1 species
GAUGCCCUUAUCAGCAGCAACCAGAUGGAGCUCUGAGCUGGAACGUUAUCGGUGUUAAAUUGCUUUUUCUCCCACCCUGAGUAGAGAGGAUUAAAGCAUUCCUUUAGAAAUGGGUGGCAAAUGUACAGACUUAGGAAUAUUAAUAUUUUUUAACAAUUUGCAUUUAUAAGUAAAUACAUGGAAAUAUAAUCUCAAAAAAAAUCCAUGUUCAAAAUUCAGCCAAACCAGUGCAAAAUGUUUUGUUUUAAAUAAAAUAGAAUAAUAGUCUUUCAUGAAUUCACUUGCAAAGAGUAAGCUUGAAACUUUUUUUUUUCUUUUUUUUUUUCAAGUGGGAGACUAUCUCACUAUUAGGGUCAAAUGCAUAUUAGGGUCAGUUUUGGUUGUAGAAAAUAAAGAACCAAUUUAGAACUUGAAUUGAUUCAUCGAGGAGGCAAUUUAUGUUCAGGUGGUGCAAGCACAGCUGGCAAAAGGUCUUGUUUAAAUCAGCUGUUUCAUGUAUUAGCCUUGCACAUGCGGCUUUAUAGCAUUGACUCUGAGUAUAAUCCCUGGAGAAAGCUCACCCAGUUAGAAG